UACGUAGGGGGCAAGCGUUGUCCGGAAUCAUUGGGCGUAAAGCGCGUGUAGGCGGUUCGGUAAGUCUGCUGUGAAAGUCCAGGGCUCAACCCUGGGAUGCCGGUGGAUACUGCUGGGCUAGAGUACGGAAGAGGCGAGUGGAAUUCCCGGUGUAGCGGUGAAAUGCGCAGAUAUCGGGAGGAACACCAAUUGCGAAGGCAGCUCGCUGGGACGUCACUGACGCUGAGACGCGAAAGCGUGGGGAGCAAACAGGG
rnacentral:rRNA from 1 species